UACGUAGGGGGCGAGCGUUGUCCGGAGUUACUGGGCGUAAAGCGCACGCAGGCGGUCUGCUAAGUUUGGAGUGACAGUUGGUGGCUUAACUGCCAAAGUGCUUCGAAAACUGACAGACUUGAGGGCUUCAGAGGGACACGGAAUUCCGGGUGGAGUGGUGAAAUGCGUAGAGAUCCGGAGGAACACCAAAGGCGAAGGCAGUGUCCUGGGGAGUACCUGACGCUCGAGGUGCGAAAGCCAGGGGAGCGA
rnacentral:rRNA from 1 species